rnacentral:rRNA from 1 species
UACAGAGGGGGCAAGCGUUGUUCGGAAUUACUGGGCGUAAAGGGCGCGUAGGCGGCCUGCUAAGUCGAACGUGAAAUCCCCGGGCUCAACCCGGGAACUGCGUCCGAUACUGGUUGGCUUGAAUCCGGGAGAGGGAUGCAGAAUUCCAGGUGUAGCGGUGAAAUGCGUAGAUAUCUGGAGGAAUACCGGUGGCGAAGGCGGCAUCCUGGACCGGCAUUGACGCUGAGGAGCGAAAGCCAGGGGAGCAAACGGG